UCGGGGUUUUGCUGAUUCUUC
rnacentral:piRNA from 1 species